AAGCGAUUUAUAGCCGGGUCUGAAUGGAUUGGAAUCAGAUGGCAAAACCCAGAUUAACCCCCUGGAUCCUGGUGGCCAUUGGUCAGUCUUUGCUGUUAAUGAUACUUUCACCCGAGUGAAUGCAUUAAAGACGUUCCUUUUAAGAUAAAUAUGCAGCUCGGUCCCUGAUGUCUGCCUGUCGCAAAAACGUGUGAUGGGAGACCAAAUGUCAAUAAAAUCUCCCUGCCCGCCUCAACCCGGUACAUAAUCAGCUCGAAGGUAAAUAAAUGCAAAGGAAUGCAAAGCCAGAGACGUUAGCGUACUCGCCAGAGCCACACCAGUAAUAAGAGGCAGAGCCAGAGUUGCAACCCAGUCAGCUGCGGCGUCUACCUCUCCCCAGCCUCCCAGCCUGGUAAGUGAGUAGCUCUUACUUUUUAUAUCACAGUUCAU